GAUGAACGCUGGCGGCGUGCCUAAUACAUGCAAGUCGAGCGAACAGAUAAGGAGCUUGCUCCUUUGACGUUAGCGGCGGACGGGUGAGUAACACGUGGAUAACCUACCUAUAAGACUGGGAUAACUUCGGGAAACCGGAGCUAAUACCGGAUAACAUAUUGAACCGCAUGGUUCAAUAGUGAAAGGCGGCUUUGCUGUCACUUAUAGAUGGAUCCGCGCCGUAUUAGCUAGUUGGUAAGGUAACGGCUUACCAAGGCAACGAUACGUAGCCGACCUGAGAGGGUGAUCGGCCACACUGGAACUGAGCCACGGUCCAGACUCCUACGGGAGGCAGCAGUAGGGAAUCUUCCGCAAUGGGCGAAAGCCUGACGGAGCAACGCCGCGUGAGUGAUGAAGGUCUUCGGAUCGUAAAACUCUGUUAUCAGGGAAGAACAAAUGUGUAAGUAACUGUGCACAUCUUGACGGUACCUGAUCAGAAAGCCACGGCUAACUACGUA
rnacentral:rRNA from 1 species